CGCACCCGCCAACUCUACAAAUGUUUCUACCGCCGUUUCCAGAACAGUGAAUGUCCUUCACAACUCUUCCGCCUUAUCUAAUUAUUCUGCCUUGGCUAAUGGGACCAUGCAUUUAAUUGCAAUCACACCGGCAGAAGAAUUCUGGACGCUAAAGGUCUUACAGAUUAGCGACGGUCUGGAACAUCUCGGUAGUAUGAGGUGGCCUCUGGUUGGUUGUCUUGCUAUCACCUACAUCGUAGUGUUCUUUUGUCUCUUUCGGGGGAUCAAGGUGUCAGGAAAGGUGGUGUACGUCACAGUUUGUGCUCCUUACAUCCUCAUCACUAUAUUCCUCAUCCGGGGCUGUCUACUUCCGGGUUCGGCUGAUGGAAUAUAUUAC